rnacentral:rRNA from 1 species
AUGAACGCUGGCGGCGUGCCUCAUACAUGCAAGUCGAGCGAACGGACGAGAAGCUUGCUUCUCUGAUGUUAGCGGCGGCCGGGUGAGUAACACGUGGAUAACCUACCUAUAAGACUGGGAUAACUUCGGGAAACCGGAGAUAAUACCGGAUAAUAUUUUGAACCGCUUGGUUCAAAAGUGAAAGACGGUCUUGCUGUUACUUAUAGAUGGAUCCGCGCUGCAUUAGCUAGUUGGUAAGGUAACGGCUUACCAAGGCAACGAUGCAUAGCCGACCUGAGAGGGUGAUCGGCCACACUGGAACUGAGACACGGUCCAGACUCCUACGGGAGGCAGCAGUAGGGAAUCUUCCGCAAUGGGCGAAAGCCUGACGGAGCAACGCCGCGUGAGUGAUGAAGGUCUUCGGAUCGUAAAACUCUGUUAUUAGGGAAGAACAUAUGUGUAAGUAACUGUGCACAUCUUGACGGUACCUAAUCAGAAAGCCACGGCUAACUACGUG